UAAAUCAUGACACAUAUGAUAACACCAGGCUUCAUAGUGUGUGUGUGUGUGUGUGUGUGUGUGUGUGUGUGUGUGUGUGUGUGUGUGUGUGUGUGUGUGUGUGCAGCAUGUGGGCGUAGUAAGCUUGUGUUCUGUGUAAGAUGCAGGUGUCUCCAGGUUACUGGGGAAUGUAAAUGCAAACAAGGCUGCUCAAACAGAGGAAGGGGGAGUUUAUGAAACCCGGCGCUACACACAUCAGUAAACUGCUAUUAAAUCCAUCUGCUGAUCGUCAACCGUCAAAGACUCGAUCUCCCGAUCUGCGUAAGUUUGGUUCACCUGUCGGCCUGUCUACCGCUGCUCUGGCUGCUCAUGUUUCUGUUGUUUCUCCAAAUGGGAACUAGCUGUUGGUGAUGGGGCAACACCAGACCCCUGAAUCACUAGACACAUUGAAAAAGCAGGACGUCCGGGUGGCCUCGGGGGUCAGAUGCUAGCCAUCAAAACGUCACCGGUUCGAGUCCAGCUGGGGAACCAGGAUCCAGCCUGGGGAUCGUGAAUAUCCGCUUCUCUUGUGUACGAAGAUCUCGAGGGUGGUGCUGGAGAAAACGACAGGAAGGGAAAUGGAAGGGGUUCAUCCUCUGGGGAGCAUCAGUUCAGUAAAUUUCAUAACACUCAUCAAUCAAUCCAUUAUAUUUUCCACAUAUGUCUUUAAUAAAAGUGGAAAUCUGUCACCAAAAACAUUAGGAUUCAUCUUCUGGCGAGAACCAACAAUAUCCACAGAUAAUUUCACAGCCAGCUGGCCAGCAGCUGUGGAGCUCUCUUGGACCAAAGCGUUGGACGGACUGACAGACCGACCGUAUCCUCGUGUUUAAGCCCGGCCACUAGUGCGUGAACAUCGCAGUUGGCCUGUGCGAGUGUAUUUUAAUUGUAGGAGGUGACAGCGCCCUGAGUAUUGCAGAGCUGCAGAUCAGCACCUUCUACGGACUAGAGGAGGAACAUGGCACAGUCACAGUGUAGUAAGUGAUGAAAUGUUGAACACAGUCGUCAUGGAAUUAAAUGAAAUGUGCAAACAGAAUGAAAUGUAGUGGGAUAGAUACUAUCCAUAAUAAACCACCAGCAAACCAGAAAGUCACGUCUUAUUUUGGAAUAAGAAAUAUCAGCCUCAAUCCACGUAAAAGACUUGUUGUCACACCAGAGUGAAAAUACACACUGUGCACUUGUGGACUGCACCAGCGUGAUGUAUGUUGUGGCUUCACUCAGUUGCAAACACAAGGUUUCUCUUCAUUCCUCGCCUAAGAUAAAGGUAAGAAGCCCCGCAGUGCGAUCUUGGUCCGUCAAUGAGCUUGUAAAGGCUUCACCCGUGAAAUGGGCUGAGGCUGAACUGUCGUGUGUGGAUCAUUUCACCGGGUCCUCCCACAGAGCACAUGCUCGCCUCGCUGCUGAAUGUAACGAUGACAUACAGUCGGUGCAGGUUUUCUGAGAGGCAGCGGAGGUGUGGACAUAUUCCGCUUAG